rnacentral:rRNA from 1 species
AAUUUAUUUAAUUAAUGUGGUUAUUUUUUUUUUUAGAUUUAUAAAAAUAGUUUUUAAUUUUUUUGUUUAAGUAUUUAUUAUGAAAUAAUUUUUAGAUUUAUAGUUUAUUAGUAUUGUGAAAGAAUUUAAUUAAAUUUUUUAAAGAAUUUUUUUAGUACCUUUUGUAUCAGGGUUAAUUAAAAUUUUUAAUUUAUUUUUAAUUUCUCAAAAUUUAUAGAGUUAAUUUUAUUAUUAAGUUAUUGUUUUAAAAAUAUUUAUAAAAUAAUUUUAGUUUAGAAAUUUAAUUCGUUAUAAUAUAUUUAGUUAUUUAAGAUUUAAAUUUAAUUUAAAAUUUUAAAAGUUUUAUUAAUUUUUUUUAAUUAAAUUUUAAAUUUAAAUUAUUUUAGGGAUAAGCUUAAAAUUUUUAUAAAAUAAAUUUUAUUUUAAUUAAUAAAUUUUAGGAUUAGAAAUUUUUAUUUUAAAGUUUGUAAAAAUUUAUUAUUUAUUUAAAUUUUAAUUUAUUAUAAUAUUUAUUUAUUUUUUUUAUUAAAUUUUAUAAAUUAAUAAUUAAUUUAUAGUAAUAAUGAUUAAAUUAGUAUAAUUUAGUUAUUUAUAAAUUAUGAAUUCAGCAAAUAAUAUUUUCAUCUGUUUAACAAAAACAUUGUAUUAAGUUUAAUUUAAUAUAGGAUCUGCUCAAUGAUUAAAUUAAAUAGCUGCAGUAUUUUAACUGUGCAAAGGUAGCAUAAUAAUUAGUCUUUUAAUUGUGGACUUGUAUGAAAGAUUUAAUGAAAAAUAAACUUUAUUAUUUAUAUAAUUAAAAUUUUAUUUUUAAGUAAAAAAGCUUAAAUUUUUUUAAGGGACGAUAAGACCCUAUAAAACUUUAUAAAUUUAUUAUUUUAAAUUUUUGGUUAAUAAAUAUAAAAAAUUUUUAAAUUUAUUUUAUUGGGGUGAUAAAAAAAAAUAUUUAACUUUUUUUAAAAUUUUACAUUAAUUAAUGAUUUUUUGAAUUAAAAAUUUUAUUUAUAGGAUAAAGUUACUUUAGGGAUAACAGCGUAAUUAAUUUUUUAAGUUCAAAUUUGAAAAUUAGUUUGCGACCUCGAUGUUGAAUUAAGAUUAAUCUUAGGUGCAAAAUUUUAAGUAUUAGGUCUGUUCGACCUUUAAAUUCUUACAUGAUUUGAGUUCAAACCGGUGUAAGCCAGGUUGGUUUCUAUCUUUAAAUUAUUUAUUUUAUUUUAGUACGAAAGGAUUAAAUAGAAAAAUUAGAUUUUUAUAAAAAAAUAAUAUUAUUUUAA